AACGAACGCUGGCGGCAUGCCUAACACAUGCAAGUCGAACGAGACCUUCGGGUCUAGUGGCGCACGGGUGCGUAACGCGUGGGAACCUGCCCUUAUGCUCGGAAUAACUCCCCGACAGGGGUGCUAAUACCGGAUAAUGUCUUCGAACCAAAGAUUUAUCGCCUUUGGAUGGGCCCGCGUUGGAUUAGCUAGUUGGUAGGGUAAAAGCCUACCAAGGCGACGAUCCAUAGCUGGUCUGAGAGGAUGAUCAGCCACACUGGGACUGAGACACGGCCCAGAAUCCUACGGGAGGCAGCAGUGGGGAAUAUUGGACAAUGGGCGAAAGCCUGAUGCAGCAAUGCCGCGUGAGUGAUGAAGGCCUUAGGGUUGUAAAGCUCUUUUACCCGGGAUGAUAAUGACAGUACCGGGAGAAUAAGCUCCGGCUAACUCCGUG
rnacentral:rRNA from 1 species